ensembl:lncRNA novel transcript
CUUCCUUCCAUUAGCCUUGACGCUACCUCUACGGUCCUGCAGCUGCAACUCCCCACCCCUGUCCCACAGAUGCAGGCCUCCUCUGUCCCUGGACACUGGACUUCAGGCUGAGGUGUCCUGCCUUGGAGGCACUGCUCAAAGAAGAAAGGGACACCAUCCCUAGUUUCAAGGCGCGACUUGUCCUGCCCCUGAUGGCUGUGGCUGAUCCACGAGGAAGUAAACUUGGACUGGGAAAACACAAACUGUCUCGGCCUGCAACAUACAUCCCAUUGAUAAAUGUAUUGAUAAACCCUAACAUCGAUAAGACAUCUGUCUGGACCUUUCAGGUCUGAACAGACAGGGCAGCUGCUGAGAACCUGGGGAAACUGACAAUCCGAUUCCUCUCUGUGUCUGAACCUUCCCUCUUCUCACUGCACCACCAGUGCAGGCCUCUUUGACUCACACAAGACCGUUUUUUUAGCACAAGGUCACCUCGAGGUCAACCGUCAACCCCAAUGCUACAGAAACUCACCUCUGACUGCGAACCU